rnacentral:rRNA from 1 species
UACGUAGGUGGCAAGCGUUGUCCGGAUUUAUUGGGCGUAAAGAGCGUGUAGGCGGCUAGGUAGGUCCGUUGUGAAAACUCGAGGCUCAACCUCGAGACGUCGAUGGAAACCAUCUAGCUAGAGUCCGGAAGAGGAGAGUGGAAUUCCUGGUGUAGCGGUGAAAUGCGCAGAUAUCAGGAAGAACACCCGUGGCGAAGGCGGCUCUCUGGGACGUGACUGACGCUGAGACGCGAAAGCGUGGGGAGCGAACAGG